AUUGAACGCUGGCGGCAGGCCUAACACAUGCAAGUCGAGCGGAUGACGGGAGCUUGCUCCUUGAUUCAGCGGCGGACGGGUGGGUAAUGCCUAGGAAUCUGCCUGGUAGUGGGGGACGACGUUUCGAAAGGAACGCUAAUACCGCAUACGUCCUACGGGAGAAAGCAGGUGACCUUCGGGCCUUGCGCUAUCAGAUGAGCCUAGGUCGGAUUAGCUAGUAGGUGAGGUAAUGGCUCACCUAGGCGACGAUCCGUAACUGGUCUGAGAGGAUGAUCAGUCACACUGGAACUGAGACACGAUCCAGACUCCUACGGGAGGCAGCAGUGGGGAAUAUUGGACAAUGGGCGAAAGCCUGAUCCAGCCAUGCCGCGUGUGUGAAGAAGGUCUUCGGAUUGUAAAGCACUUUAAGUUGGGAGGAAGGGCAGUAAGCUAAUACCUUGCUGUUUUGACGUUACCGACAGAAUAAGCACCGGCUAACUCUGUGCCAGCAGCCGCAGUAACAC
rnacentral:rRNA from 1 species